GAUGAACGCUAGCGGCAGGCCUAAUACAUGCAAGUCGAACGAUAGAAGAGGGCUUGCUCUCUUCGAAAGUGGCGCACGGGUGCGUAACGCGUAUGCAACCUACCUUAAUCAGGGGGAUAGCCCGAAGAAAUUCGGAUUAACACCGCAUAAACUCAAAGUACAGCUUUGAACAAUGAUCAAAUAUUUAUAGGAUUAAGAUGGGCAUGCGUGACAUUAGCUAGUUGGCGGGGUAACGGCCCACCAAGGCGACGAUGUCUAGGGGAGCUGAGAGGAUGACCCCCCACACUGGUACUGAGACACGGACCAGACUCCUACGGGAGGCAGCAGUAAGGAAUAUUGGUCAAUGGAGGCAACUCUGAACCAGCCAUGCCGCGUGCAGGAAGACAGCCCUCUGGGUCGUAAACUGCUUUUAUUCGGGAAUAAACCUACUUACGUGUAAGUAGCUGAAUGUACCGAAGGAAUAAGGAUCGGCUAACUCCGUGCCAGCCGCCGCGGUAA
rnacentral:rRNA from 1 species